rnacentral:misc_RNA from 1 species
GCCGGGCUGCAGCACUACCGCGGGCAGCAAAAAACAAGGAGAUUACGGUAUGGCUAAUGGCACCGUAAAAUGGUUCAACUCAACCAAAGGCUUCGGCUUUAUCGCACCUGAUGGUGGCGGCAAAGACGUUUUCGUUCACAUUUCUGCAGUCGAGCGCGCCGGUCUGACCGGUCUGGCCGACGACCAGAAAGUAACCUUCGACAUCGAAGCAGGCCGUGAUGGCCGCGAAAGCGCGUCGAACCUUCAGCUCGCCUAAGUCGAACUGAUCU